CGUCGAUACCAUCGAAAAGUUUAAUAACGCGAUCAUAAUUACCAGCACUUGGAGCAGAAGCAUCAACAGCAGAAAAAGCGCAGCGCAGCAAGAAGACGAUUCAGACC